CGCUUGGAAUUUGACCCUGCUCCCGCAGACGUCAUACAGGAGAAAUUUGGAACCCCUUCGCGGCCUUGCGCUAUCAGAUGAACCUAGGUCGGAUUAGCUACUUGGUGAGGUAAUGGCUCACCAAGGCGACUAUCCGUAUCUGGUCUGAAAGGAUGAUCAGUCACACUGGAACUGAGACGCGGUCCAGACUCCUACAGGAGGCAGCAGUGGGGAAUAUUGGACAAUGGGCGAAAGCCUGAUCCAGCCAUGCCGCGUGUGUGAAGAAGGUCUUCGGAUUGUAAAGCACUUUAAGUUGGGAGGAAGGGCAUUUACCUAAUACGUAAGUGUUUUGACGUUACCGACAGAAUAAGCACCGGCUAACUCUGUGCCAGCAGCCGCGGUAAUACAGAGGGUGCAAUCGUUUAUCGGAAUUACUGGGCGUAAAGCGCGCGUAGGUGGUUUGUUAAGUUGGAUGUGAAAUCCCCGGGCUCAACCUGGGAACUGCAUUCAAAACUGACACGCUAGAGUAUGGUAGAGGGUGGUGGAAUUUCCUGUGUCGGGAUGAAAUGCGUACAAUAUUCAAAUUG
rnacentral:rRNA from 1 species